rnacentral:rRNA from 1 species
AGAGUUUGAUCAUGGCUCAGGACGAACGCUGGCGGCGUGCCUAAUACAUGCAAGUCGAGCGGAUUUGACAGAGCUUGCUCCCGAAGGUUAGCGGCGAACGGGUGAGUAACACGUGGGCAACCUGCCUGUAAGACUGGGAUAACUUCGGGAAACCGGAGCUAAUACCGGAUAAUCCUUUUCCUCACAUGAGGGAGAGCUGA